rnacentral:rRNA from 1 species
UACAGAGGGUGCAAGCGUUGUUCGGAAUUAUUGGGCGUAAAGGGCGCGUAGGCGGCCAGAUAAGUCCGGUGUGAAAGUCACAGGCUCAACCUGUGAAUGCCGCUGGAAACUGUCUGGCUAGAGUCCGGGAGGGGCGAGUGGAAUUCCUGGUGUAGCGGUGAAAUGCGCAGAUAUCAGGAGGAACACCGGUGGCGAAGGCGGAUCUCUGGGCCGAUACUGACGCUGAGGAGCGAAAGCGUGGGGAGCGAACAGG